rnacentral:rRNA from 1 species
GACGAACGCUGGCGGCGUGCCUAAUACAUGCAAGUUGAGCGCUGAAGGUUGGUACUUGUACCAACUGGAUGAGCAGCGAACGGGUGAGUAACGCGUGGGGAAUCUGCCUUUGAGCGGGGGACAACAUUUGGAAACGAAUGCUAAUACCGCAUAAAAACUUUCAACACAAGUUUUAAGUUUGAAAGAUGCAAUUGCAUCACUCAAAGAUGAUCCCGCGUUGUAUUAGCUAGUUGGUGAGGUAAAGGCUCACCAAGGCGAUGAUACAUAGCCGACCUGAGAGGGUGAUCGGCCACAUUGGGACUGAGACACGGCCCAAACUCCUACGGGAGGCAGCAGUAGGGAAUCUUCGGCAAGAGAAGAAAGUCUGACCGAGCAACGCCGAGUGAGUGAAGAAGGUUUUCGGAUCGUAAAAAUCUGUUGGUAGAGAAGAACGUUGGUGAGAGUGGAAAGCUCAUCAAGUGACGGUAACAACACAGAAAGGGACGGCUAACUACGUG